rnacentral:rRNA from 1 species
UACGUAGGGGGCAAGCGUUGUCCGGAAUCAUUGGGCGUAAAGGGCGCGUAGGCGGUUCCAUGCGUCCCACGUGAAAGCCCCUGGCUCAACCAGGGAGGGUCGUGGGAAACGGGGGAACUGGAGGCAGAGAGAGGCUGGUGGAAUUCCCGGAGUAGUGGUGAAAUGCGUAGAUAUCGGGAGGAACACCGGUGGCGAAGGCGGCCAGCUGGCUCUGACCUGACGCUGAGGCGCGAAGGCGUGGGGAGCGAACAGG